UUGGGGGAACCCACCCCCCGGAAUGGGACCCUGCCCAUUUCUUGGGGGGCCCCGUGGGAAUUUGCCAAAGGGCCAACCCGAUCCACCAUGCGGGGGUUGAAGAAGUCUUCGGUUUUAAAGUCUUUAGUGGGAGGAAGGCGAUAAGUUAAUACCCUUUGCGAUGACGUUACCCCAGAAGAGCACCGGCUAAUUUCGUCCAGCAGCCGGGUAAUCCGGAGGGGCAAGCGUUAUUGGAAUUACUGGGCGUAAAGCGCACUCAGUCGUUCUGUCAAGUCGGAUGUAAAAUCCCCGGGUUCACCCUGGGAAUUGCUUUAGAAACUGGCAGGUAUAGAGUCUUGUAGAGGGGGGUAGAUUUCCAGGUGUAGCGGUGAAAUGCGUAGAGAUCUAGAGGAAUACAGUUGGGGAAGGCGGCACCUUGGACAAAGACUGCCGCUCAGUUGCGAAAGCUUGGGGAGCAACCAGGAUUAGAUACCUUGGUAGUCCACGCCGUAAACGAUUUAGACUUGGAGGUUGUUCCCUUGAGGCGUGGCUUCCGGAGCUAACCCGUUAAGUCGACCCCCUGGGGAGUACGGCCGCAAGGUUAAAAUUCAAAUGAAUUGACGGGGGCCCCCCCAAGCGGUGGACCAUGUGGUUUAAUUGGAUCCAACGGGAAGACCCUUACAUACUCUUGCCAUCCAGAGAACUUCCCAGAGAUGGUUUGGUCCCUUCGGGAAUUUUGCGCCAGGUGCUCCAUGGCUUUCUUCAGCUCGUUUUGUGAAAUGUUGGGUUAAUUCCCGCAACGAGCCCAACCCUUAUCCUUUGUUGCCACCGGUUAGGCCGGGCACUCUAAGGAGACUGCCAGUGAUAAACUGGAGGAAGGUGGGGAUGACGUCAAGUCAUCAUGGCCCUUACGACUAGGGCUACACACGUGCUACAAUGGUGCAUACAAAGAGAAGCCACCUCGCGAGAGCAAGCUGACCUCAUAAAGUCCGUCGUAGUCCGGAUUGCAGUCUGCAACUCGACUCCAUGAAGUCGGAAUCGCUAGUAAUCGUGGAUCAGAAUGCCACGGUGAAUACGUUCCCGGGCCUUGUACACACCGCCCGUCACACCAUGGGAGUGGGUUGCAACAGAAGUAGGUAGCUUAACCUUCGGGAGGGCGCUUACCACUUUGUUCAGGGC
rnacentral:rRNA from 1 species